rnacentral:tRNA from 1 species
CGCCGCCGCGUCGCGGUGGCGGACGGUCGCCCUGGCGUGGCGGCCCCUCGCCUGCGCGCUGCGGUUCGUCGUCCGGAGGCGGCGGC